CGACGAAGUCGUGAAGAGUGCUACUUCAGAAUAAAUGAUCUCUGCCGAUUGUUCCGUUGUACCAGCUGCGGUCCUCUCGCUUGCUAUAGAUUGCUGGUGAGCCAUCACGGCACGCACAGAUUGUCAAGAACUGUCACAUAACCAACUGCGUUCCCUGAAUCCUAAUCUACAUAAUGAAAGGACUUCCCAACUAGACCUAGGACUUCAAUCAUCAACUCACGGACCAAAAUUAGGACGGGAAAUAUUUCAAAGAAAAAGUCUGCAUUGUGCGCAGCAUGGCUGCCUAGGUUCAUUGUUGACCUUCAGAUACGUUAAGAAGAGAAUAAAAUGGGCAGGUAGGUAUGUAGGGAGGACUGAGAAAGCAAGUAAGUAUAAAUAAUUUUUGUAUGUUUUCACAAAACUUUUCAAAAACUGAAAUGGGGAUUAUUUGUAAUAACUUUAUGUUGUCAGUCAUGGCUAUGAAGACACUAAAUUAGGAAGAACCUUUAUACCAUUUACCUAAAAAUAAUUUUAAGUUAUUUGAGGGUUCAGAGGUUCUAGGUAAACAAAGCAUUAUUUAGGUAUUUAAAAUAUCUCUUAUCAAAAAAACAAAGAACAAAACAAACAACAACAACAACAAAAACAAAAACCCAGAAAACAAACACUUCUGAGAAUUGAGGUCUGAUAUUUUAACCUUCAAAGUCUUCGUUCAAAGACAGAAAUUAUAAUAAAGAUAUCCUAUUGUUAAAAGAUGUAGAAGGAUAAAUUAAGAUAAAAUGAUUAAAACUAACAUUAGAGAUGGCAUCUUAAGCUUCCCGAAAUAGAUGCCCAUUGAAGAAGUGAAUAAUUAAUUGACAGGCAAAGAAAUACCCAUUUAGAGACUUGGAGUAAGACAGGGGAAGGAGGAAAAAAGGAGGAGGAGAUGAGGAGAUAUAAAGUAGGUCAGGAAAUUGAACAGAAGUCUAUAGUAAUGGAUAGUGGGGAACUGGAGGUAGCCACCAGAAACGCCCAGAUGCCAGGAAAGCAAGAGGCU